AGUGAACGCUGGCGGUAGGCCUAACACAUGCAAGUCGAGCGGCAGCACAGUAAGAGCUUGCUCUUACGGGUGGCGAGUGGCGGACGGGUGAGGAAUACAUCGGAAUCUACUUUUUCGUGGGGGAUAACGUAGGGAAACUUACGCUAAUACCGCAUACGACCUACGGGUGAAAGCAGGGGAUCUUCGGACCUUGCGCGAUUGAAUGAGCCGAUGUCGGAUUAGCUAGUUGGCGGGGUAAAGGCCCACCAAGGCGACGAUCCGUAGCUGGUCUGAGAGGAUGAUCAGCCACACUGGAACUGAGACACGGUCCAGACUCCUACGGGAGGCAGCAGUGGGGAAUAUUGGACAAUGGGCGCAAGCCUGAUCCAGCCAUACCGCGUGGGUGAAGAAGGCCUUCGGGUUGUAAAGCCCUUUUGUUGGGAAAGAAAAGCAGCAGGUUAAUACCCCGCUGUUCUGACGGUACCCAAAGAGUAAGCACCGGCUAACUUCGUG
rnacentral:rRNA from 1 species